rnacentral:lncRNA from 1 species
GCGGGAGGAGCCGGCGGCUCCUCGGCGCCCGGGACCGGCGUGGCCGGGAGUGGAGGUUCGGCGGCCUGGGAGAUAGGGAAGACGCGGCCCAGCCGGCGGGCAGUGGGGUGUACGGGCGAGCUGGCAAGUGGGACGGGGGCGUCCACACAGGCCGGGGGCUAUGGCGGUCGGGGGAGUGCGUGGUCCGUGGACCUUGGACCACCGAGAUGUGGAAGCCCCAGUAAGGCACUUGGCGGCUCCGAGCCCCCGCUUCCUUUUCUGUAAAGUGGGAUGUGAUUCAUCUCACACGAGUUAUUAAUAUCACCGUUUGCUCGUUACCCGACGCAGAAUCACCCCGCAGUCCCACGAGGUAGCGCUCUGUACACUGUACAAACGAGGAAGCGUGGCUCCGAGAGGCGAGUGGACUCCUAAGUGGUGCUUUUGCCAGAGGAGUGGGUUUCGUGGACCUUGAGCUCGAGGUUGGGGUUUGAAAUCUGCCCCUGCCACGUAACGAUGGCGAGGCGGAGGGCAGGUCGCUCCCGGCCUUGGUGUUUCCAUUAGGGAAGUGAUACCAUCUUCUAGAGCUGCAGUCACGGUUAAAUUCGAUCAGCGGUUCCCAAACUCUUAGUCUCAAGACCACCUUAUUCUCUUUAAAAAUGAGAGCCUCAAAAAGUUUGCUAGUGUGGGUUAUAUCUAUCAAUAUUCACCGUAUUAUAAAUAUGAAAUUUAGAAGAAUACUUUUCGUCUUAAAAAUAAACAUUCUUAAAAACCUGUAUCUCGUGCUCGCUUCGGCAGCACAUAUACUAAAAUUGGAACGAUACAGAGAAGAUUAGCAUGGCCCCUGCGCAAGGAUGACACGCAAAUUCGUGAAGCGUUCCAUAUUUUUUGGAUCCUGAAAAACUUAACAGGAACCCAUGGGGGAGGGGAAGGAAAAAAAAAAAAAAAAGAAGUUAGAGUGGGAGAGAGCCAAAGCAUAAGAGACUGUUAAAAACUGAGAACAAACUGAGGGUUGAUGGGGGGUGGGAGGGAGGGGAGGGUGGGUGAUGGGUAUUGAGGAGGGCACCUUUUGGGAUGAGCACUGGGUGUUGUAUGGAAACCAAUUUGUCAAUAAAUUUCAUAAAAAAAAAAAAAAAAAACCUGUAUCUCCCAAAAAUACAGAGAAGAGUGGGAACUGUUUUACAUUUUUUUAAAAUCUCCUUAAAGUUUUAAAGAUACAUAGAACAUAGCUGGAUUCUCACAUCUGCUUCUGCAUGCACUGUUGCAAUAGACCGCUUUGAAGUAUAUGAGGAAAAUCCAGCCUCAGAUACAUGGUCCAACAAGGAAAGAGCUACAAACCAACCUCCGAACAGCUUAGAGCACCACCAGGCACCUGGCAAGGCCUUGGAAACUGAUGAAAUGAAGCCGGUGAGUCAGGAAAACAAGCUGAUGGCUUUGAGGACUGGCCCAGGUGGAAAGCAGCUCCGAACCCUCCCCAGGGAUGGUUGAAAAGGGGGUAGAAAUAGUCCACUCAUCAGGGGUAAAUAGUCCCCAGCGGGGAGGGGAUGCCCACUCACAGAAGACCUUCCCACACCCUCAUAAGGUCAGGGGACCCUAAACAUGUUUGAGAUUUUCUCAACAUCUGUGACCAGAGUAUUAGGAUCAUAUUAAGUAUUAAAACAUUGCUUUAAGGAAACCUCUGUGGUGCUGAAAAUGUUCUGUAUCUUGGUGGUAUUCUUUUUCAGGGAGCAUUUUCUCACAGUGUUUAGAGUUACUAGCAUAUGGUGAUGAUGAAAAGAUUAAACUUUGGUUUCAUGAUUGUUUUUAAAUUCUCCAUAGAUGCACUGGUGGACCAUGCCCACCCCAUCCCCAACUUGGUACACCACUGCCUACAGGGAAAGAGAGAGGUGCUUUGAAAGAAUUAUGGUGGAGUAACAACGUGGAGAAGAGUGGACCCAUCUGCAGUGGUUGGAGGAAAAGAAGAAAAGGCUAGAAAAGACACUAGGAUUGGGAGAAGUACCUCUUCCUCUAUUCAGCCCAUGUGGUCUGACUUUUUUUUUUUUAAAUGUUGAGAGGGCGAGCAACAGCGCACACAAGUGGGGGAGGGGCGGGGGGAAGGGGUGGCUGGAGGAAACAGAAUCUGAAGCAGGCUCUAGGCUCUGAGCUGUCAGCACAGAGCCCGACACAGGGCUCCAAUUUACAGACUGUGAGAUCAUGGUCUGAGGUGAAGUCGGUCGCUUAACCUACUGAGCCACCCAGACGCUCCUCAAGCGGUCUGACUUAAAUUAACAUAAUCCCUAAUCUCGAGGCCUUCUAGUGACCUCAGCCUGUGCACAAUCAAGAACUAUCUUCUCAAGGAAUCACAUCAACCCAGGGAUUGGUUCAGGGGAUGCAGAGACGAUCCAGGUUCAUGCAAUGAAGCUCACUCAUGUGGCUUGUGUGGAAGUGAUCAUGGGGAGAGUCACCCUCAGCUGGGUGGCAAAGAGGCCAGGAGGUCAGCAUGUGCUGCCAGCAGCGAUCCAGGCACCUCUGAUGACAGCAAAAGGAAACGGCUGGGCAGUAGCGAGGAGGGAAACACCUGGUGAGCCGAAGGGUCGCGUGCUUCUUGGUUGCUCUGAAGUUUCUGAGUAGUGAACUCCCAUCUUUUGCUAAAAUAAUUUGAGUUGCGCUCCUUUCACUCAUAACCCGAAGAGCUCAAGCUAAUAAGAGGGCGCACUGGGAUGGACCUCGUCGAAGUGAAGCAGAGCCCAAAGGGCCAUUGUUAGCGGGGGUCCUGCACGAGGACAGUGUGACUAGGAGCUUCCUACUCCAUUUGGUCCCAGCUGCGCUCCCACCAUGUCAGUCCGUGCCUUCUCCUUUUGUGUUUAAAAAGGAAAAGGGGUGGGGCGCCUGGGUGGCUCAGUCGGUUAAGCGUCUGACUCUUGGUUUUAGCUCAGAUCAUAUCGUGGUUCGGGAGUUGGAGCCCCGCAUCGGGCUCUGUGCUGACAGCUCGGAGCCUGGAGCCUGCUCCGGAUUCUGCGUUUCCCUCUCUCUCUCUGCCGCUCCCCCACUCGUGCCAUGUCUCUCUUAAAAAAUAAACAUUAAAAAAAACUUUUUAAAGAAAUAAAAAACGUUUAAAAAAAUGAUAAAUGUAAGGAAAAAGAAGAACACCAGACUCAAACUGAGGGACAUCCCACAGAGUAUCAGACCAGGAUUCCUCAAGCCAUCUGAGACAUGGGAGACAGACACACCAGAGGAGCCUAAGGAGAUGACACCCCUAAAUGCGAUGUGAGAUCCCAAAAGGAUGCUGGUGGGAAAAUAUUUGGAAUUCAGUUAGUAGUAAUGAACGAAUGUUAAUUCCUUCCUCCUGGGAAACAAACCAUAGUUAAGUGUGUUGGGGGGGGGGGCAGGGCAUGUGGGAAGUCAGUAAAAUCUCACAAUGUUUGUGUAAAUCCAAAAGGAAUUCAUUUUUCAGCUUCUUUCAGGAUUAUAUAAUUAUGUAUUUUAAAAUGUAAAUCAAGUUGGCAAAAUAAAAGUCUUCACAGCAGUUGCCUUGGGUGAUGGGGAAGGGACAGACAGGACACAUGCACUGACAGAGCUAAAUUUGGUCACAUCAGAAAAAAUAGCUGCAGCAAAGCCUCUUGGACCCAACUUUUCCAUGCCUACAGAUUGCCCUACAAAACCCUCAAACAGGCAGC